rnacentral:lncRNA from 1 species
AAGGUUAACUACUUUGUUGAGAGUAACUAAUGUCAUCAAAUAUCCAUAAUACAAAAUAAUAGUUAGUCUAUAACAUUUCUCUAACUCUUGAUCAUAAAGAAGUCUCCCACAUAUUAAAUCUCUUAGUAUCAUAGCAUAUGACAUGAAAUGAUAAAAUAAAGUGAGUAAAAUCUCGUUCAUCAAAGUUAAAGCAAACAAAGAAAACGAAAAAAGUUAGUAGGCAAGAAAAAUGGAGUUUUAGUUUUACAGCAAGCAAAUGUAUACCAUUUGAAAACACCUAAUAAUGUAUUGAAAUCUCUUGCUUGUUUCCAGUCUUGCAUCUGAAGAACAAAGUUUCAAAAAUUUAUCAAAUGGAUUAAUAUCAGGACAACGACACUUCAAAAUCAAAGAACAGAGUAUCAUUUACUAAAAUAAGGAACCAAGCGUGCGGCCACGACUAGUUUAUCUCUCUAGAGAAGUGUUUAGUCCCAGUAAUAAAUUUGAGCCCUGGUAUUGAUUAAUUAAAGCCAAGGAUUUAGUUGCAGCUAUUUUAGGGAGAAGAUUUCUAUUUGGACAUAACUAUCAUACCCAUUGGGACCAAUAGAUCAAAUUACAAUUCGUUGUCCAUAAGAUAAAAAUGAGAAGAUUAUUGGUGAAUGUGAAGAACUAACUUUUCUUUACAAAAAUUUAGAAACAGAGACCAUGUAUAUCUAAGAUUAAAACGCACAUCUUAAAUUCUCAUUAAGACAUCACUAUGGAACCAUCUGUUCAACAUACUCAAUAGCUUUAUAACAGAUUAAUAUUAGCUCUACAACGACUAUAAUGGAUCCAAAAAUGUAGUCACUCACUCUAAGAGUUCUUAAUUUACCACCUUCGCCAAACACACGAAAACAAGAAAACAUCACAACUACAAAUAAGCUAAAACAAGAAAAUAUAACGAAAUAUAUUUUUCUUGUAAGUGAAAAUAUAAAGAAACUCUCUCUACCUUCAUUGCUUCAGUGAGUUUCCUAUCUUCCUCGUCUUAUCCAUUUUUUCACCUCCAGAAUUUUCAAAAGGUUCAUUCUAUCUUAGUUCAAUGAUAAUUUGUUGAUAUAAUUUAUCACUUUUUUUAAGUAAAUAUACUACUAGGUUAUUCACCUAGUAGCUGUUAUAUAUAAUAAAUCCGAAAUUGGGUAAAAGUUACACAGUGUUCUAUUGAACUACAAGCAAUACGACAAAGAAAGCUAAUGGCUAUUGCUACCAAAAAUAAUGUAGCUUUAGCGAAAUGAAAAAUGGAAAGCAAAAAGCUAGAAAUUUGAAACGUCCAAUUGUUGCUGACGACAAUCAAUUCACACACCAGUUGCAAAUAAAUUCAUGUAGUAAAGCAAAGUUCGGACAUCUUCGCUUUGGGGCUGAAUAACUGAAAUCCCAACUGCAAUGGUCGUGGAGAGAACUGAAGUAUGAGGUAUUUUUGAUUGAGACAUUGUUUGUAGUGGCUUAUUCCCCUUAACCAAACAGUUAAAACAAACAGCCGAACACUAAGCAAGCCAAACAUUUCCUUUCCAGUAGUAGUCACAUGCACACUGCUAGAGGUCGCGUUGAAGUCUUUGUUGUUUCCAGUGUAUUGAUGUGUCCCAAUUUUUUACACCUGUUGUAUUUCGGAAGAUUCUUUGUUGUAGAAUUGUUGUUGUAAGUUGUUGUACAACCCCCAGAAUGAGCAUGGUAAGAUGCUAAUACAACAGGGAAGUUGAACGACAACAAACAUACAGCAAUUAGCUUCAAAAUCAUACCUGCGACAAUAAUGUGUUGUGGUGUUGUUACCUUUGUAGUAGAAGUGUUGCAGUUGUAAUGUCAAUGAACAAUUAUGUAUUAGUGCUGCUGAAAUCAAAAAACACUGGAGGUUCCCAUUGCUGUAUUUCUUUGCUCCAAUUGAAACUGGUACAGGGCUUUGUAAUUCGUCACAGCUGUUGGUGUUUGAGAAAAGCACUAUCUGCAAAUGCCUCAACAAUCGGAGCUUAUCUCUGCAACCCGCAAAAUCUGUUGUUUGUGCGUAGAUCCUAAAAAGUGUAGCAUGUUGGGUAAUGAGCACAUAUUUGUUAGAAUUGACAGCCACUUUGUCACUAUCCAUUUGCAUAAUUUCCUUCUGAAAAUAUGCCAUCCAUCGUGAGUCCAUGCUUGUGCUUACCACUUAUACGCCCUCAAGGGAAUGAGCAAUGGGUGAUAAUACUACCCAUUGAGCUUGUAUCAAAUAGUUAAGCAUGGAUACAAUAGCAUCCCUUGCAAAAAAAAAAUACAUCGUUAGGAAAAACAAUGACCCUCAUGAUCUUCUCCCAAAGGAUUUGAUCAUGUUGAUCUAGGCUGUUAGUUCCAAUAACUUUCCUCCCCUUUGUGCUCCUCUCAUCCUCUUCUCCUAAGUUACUGCAACUCAUAUUCUUAAGUAAGGACAUUAGGAUUUAUCAUCAUUCACAAUCCUCCUUUCUUGAAUAUCCAAAUCACCAAAGCAGUUGCAAUAACUAGGGCCAACAUCAAGUGCAAGAUUUGCAAGGUGCUCUGCCAGUUUAUUGCCUUCUCUAAGAGUAUGGGAUAGUGUAAUCUUGCAUCUUGCUAUUAGCUGUUUAAUCUCCUCCAUUAUCCUGCCACAGACCAAGAAACAGAUCAUUCGCCUUCAACUGCCUUCAACAUUAUCAUAGAGUCAGUGUGUAAAUCAAUAAGGACGAAAUUACGUUCAACACAUUAUCUGAGAGCCUCAACCAUGGCCUUAGCUUCUGCUUUAUUUUUUGUUCCCUAUGGAAUUUCUUCAUCACACGCAUACACCACAUCACCCUCUGCAUUCCUCAAUACAAAUCCAAUAUAACAUCUCCCUGGGUUGCCCCUACAAGCCCCAUUAGUGUUCACUUUAAUCCAUCCUGUUGUAGGAUACUCCCAUACCACCUUAGUUAUCUUCAGUUUAGGAAGAUAUUGCUCCAUCAUUGUGAGUAAAUCUGGUCAUUUAUAUGGUACAUGAAUGAGUCUAGGCUUCCUGAAUUUGACCAGUGAUUGAAGUGUAGAAGAUACCUGAUAGAUCACCCUACUCACUAUUACUGAAUCACCAUGUUUGAAGUUGUUCCUUCUCUUCCAUAACUCCCAUACAAUAAUGGUUGUUAUUUCUUGAAUUAUAGGCUGCAAUCUUGGUAUCACCUUAGCAGUCCAGCACUUGAUUAUGAUUUGGUGAAAUGUGAGUCCAUCAAUCACAAUUCCUGCAGAAGACAGGAAAUAUGGCCACACUCUUCUCGCAACAUAGGACGUGAAAAACAAGUGAUGCAUGGUUUCCUCCAUCGGAUUAGUACAACACCAACACCUAGAAGCCAUCAAGUAACACAACCUUCUCAUUAAAUCAUCUAAUGGUAGUUUAUUCCUCCAUACUUUCCACAUGAAAAAGUGUAUUUUGAAUGGUAGACCUUUCGCCCAAAUCUUUAUAUAAGCAUUGAAUGGCUCAUUUCUCCUCCUCACAUAAUCCCAAGCUGAUUUUGCACUAAACUCUCCCGUAGGCUCCAAAGUCCAGUAUGGCAGAUCCAGUACAUCUUGUAUCACUGGUGGUUUACAAUAUUUCAGUAUGUGAUUUGCAAAUUCCUCCGACAGGAUUUGUCAGAGAAUAUUUUCAUCCCACUGCCCAUCAUGCACCACAUCACACACAUUGUGGAUUGUUUCAUCACAGAAAAAAUUUGGGAGAGUGAUAAAAUAUAAAGCCCCCAAAUCUAUCCAGUUUUCAAACUAGAACAGAGAAGAUCCCAUCUUUGUAUGCCAUACAAUAUGAUGUUCAAUUAACUCACUGCAUUCUAGCAUUUUUCUCCAUACAUGAGAUCCCUUCCUCCAUGGCACCACCAUAGGAUUAAUCUUUUUGUAAUAUUUUUGGAUGAUAAAUGAACUCCAUAGACUAGGUUUAGUUCUAGAGUUCCACCAUAAUUUGCAAAACAUAGCCUUUGAAACAUCAUGGAGUGACCUAAAUCCUACUCCCCCUUUCUCACAUGGCAUACAGAAUGUACUCCACGAUGCCCAAUGUCUGCUCGAACCACCAACAGAAUUACACCAAAAGAAUUGAGCAAAUAUCUUGUGUAAUUUAUUAAUCACAUAUGCAGGAGGAUUUACUGCAGAAAGAAGAUGGAUUCGCAUACUCUGCAAGACAUGAGAGAUCAAGACAACCCUUCCUCCAAUGGAUAACAGUUUGUCUUUCCAUGCCUGCAGUUUGUCUAACACCUUGUUGCGCAGCCCUUGGUAGUAAUCCAUCCUUCUUCUGGAAUAGAAAAUUGGGCAGCCAAGGUAUGUAAAUGGGAAAUCCUGCUUGGAUAUCCUAGUGAUCCUUUCGACUUUGUUCACCACCUAUGCACUGGCUGAAUGAUGCAUAUAUAUGGCAGACUUGUUUUUGUUAAUCAACUGCCUGAAGUAGUUUCAUAAGCAUCCAAGACUUCUAUCACAAAUUGCAAUGAUGUAGCAUCAGAGGAUGAGAAAAUGAUCGUAUUAUCAGCAUAAACUAGAUGGUUAAUCUUAGGGAUCCACUUAGGCAAUCCAAAGCCACAAAAGUAAAGGUUCAUAUUUAGUGCAUUGAGUCCCCUCGAUAGUGCCUCGGCAGCAAGAAUGAAUAGAGUUGGUGAUAAAGGAUCACCCUACUUUACACCUCUUGUCGACUUGAAGAAUCCAUAUGGUUAUCCAUUAAGCAGUACAGAAUAUAAAUUAUUAUCUACAAUGCCAAAGAUCAUGCCAAUAAACCUUUCCUCAAAUCCCAUCUUCCUCAGAACCUUAGUUAAGAACAGCCAAGAUAGCGUAUCAUAGGCUUUUCUCAUAUCUAGUUUGAUCACAACGUUUGGGCCAGCCUUAGUUCGCAACCUUAUAUUAGUAAUUAUUUCUUGUGAGAACAGAACAUUUUUAACUAUGCUCCCACCCUUCACAAAUCCUACCUGCUCAUUUGAUAUAAGAUUAGGAAGAUAUCCUACUAGGCUCUCAUGAAUAACUCUUGAGAAAACCUUAUUGAUAAAGUUGAUGAGUCUAAUAGGUCGCAUGUCUGAGUAUGAGAUCAUUGCUUUCUUCUUUGGUAACAAUACCAGAUUCGUGUGAGUUAUGAACCUGGGCAGUUCCUGGCAAUUGAAGAAAGCCUUCACAAUUUCCACAAUAUCAUCCCCUACUAUAUCCUAACAUACAUGAAAGAAGCAUCCUCUAAAACCAUCAUGCCCUCCUGCACUUUCACCAUUAAGCCCAUAGACAACAUGUUUUACCUCCUCAAAUGUAGGUUGUUUCACCAAUUCCUGAUUAUGCUUGUAAUCUACCAUUGCUGGUAUAUGAUCUAUGAUGUCAAAAUUCGAGGGGACUUGUUCUUCAUGAAAUUGUGCCUUGAAGAACUUGACUGCCUCAUCAGCCAUAACUUCAUUAUCUUCUACCCAAUUUCCAUCACUGUUUUGUAUUCUUUUAAGUUGUAGUCUUUUCCUUCUUCCAUUCACUUGUGCAUUGAAAAACUUGGUGUUUCUAUCUCCAUCUUGAAACCAAGACAUUCCUGCUUUUUAUUUCCAAAACUCCUCCUCCAAAGUAAAAUAUCUGAUCAAAUCUGCUUGUACUUUAUGCAGCCUAGCUCUAUUUUGUUGUGUUGGAUUCUGUUCGAAUUGAGCUUCGUGAACUAAUACCACCUCCUCUAAGCUUACAAUCUUCUGAAAAAUAUCACCAUAUGUAGCUUUGCUCCACAAAGUUAAAGCUCUCUUUCGCUUCUUCAGUUUGUGAUUAAAUACAAUGAAUGGAUUUGCAGUAAAGUCAGCACUCCAGUUCUCUUAAACAACUUCUUUAAAAGUUGGAUGUUUGGUCCAGAUAUUUAAGAACCCGAAUGCUUUCUUGAUUGGCACGGCAGUGGAUUACAUGUCAGCAAUAUAGGAGAGUGAUCUGAUCCUAUUUUUGAUAGAUGAGUGAUCUCCAAUCCAGGCAGCAUUUGUUGGAAUUCAAUGUUAGCCAAGCAUCUAUCUAAUCAUUUAAAAAUACAAUCGUCCUCUGCUCUGCCAUUCUACCAAGUAUAAAUGCUCCCUCUGAAUCCUAGAGCAACUAAAUUACAUGUGUUGAUACAAUGCCUGAAAUCAUUGACUUCAUUCAGUGAGACUGGCAGCCCACCAAAUGUUUCUUCUUCAUCCCAUAUGACAUUAAAGUCUCCAGCUACCAUCCAUGGAAAAGUCAUAUCUCCAACCAUAGCAUAUAAGGUAUCCCAUAAUUCAAUCCUUUCUAUCGAGUCACAUUUUGCAUAAACCAGCGUGACAAUAAAGCUAUUUUGGGUGUCCACAUUGGUCAGUUUCAUUGUUUGUUGUUGUUCCAAAUCAAACAGUAUAUCUACCAUGUGAUCCUCAUCUACAAAAGCCCAUAUAUUGUUAUUGACAUUAGCAAAAGCUUGUGCUAGACCAAUCCUUCAUAUUGAAAAUGAUGCUGCCUAUUCAUAUUGACAAGCCUUUCAAAAGCUUUUUUUAGUAUUAACCGACCUCACGUUCCAUAUGAUUGCAUUCAUAUUUAAAUAUGAGAUUUAGUGUGAGCCCUUCUUGUUUGAACCCCUCCAUUUUGCACAGUUGAGGACUCCUUUUGCUGGUUUUUCUUUCCACAACUAGCUGAUUUCCCUUUCUCCAUUACUCUUGGAGAUAAAUUUCCUUGCUUGGCUAUGUUGAGGAAGUUUUGUGCUAUAGACUCGUCAUCAAGAUCCUUCACAGUUCUACCUAAAUUCUCCACUGCUUCCUUGGUAUUUACUUAAGUGUCAAGGUCAGAUGUCACAAGUUUAGGAAUUAGAGUUCCACCUCCUUUUUCCUUCAUACUAUAUUGUGGGAUUUCAGAGCUUAACAACAGAGCAUGCUGGACCUUAUUUCCUGUCAAUCUCACCUCAUCAUUUUCAGGGAUAAUUGCAGCAUUGUUCGUAUCAUCUACCUCAUUCCUCACCAUUGUUGCAUCUCCCUUAGUUCCUCCUGGAUCUACUGCAUCCACCUGAUCAACUGAAGGGACAAUAUUCUCUGAUAUCUGGUUGGUGUUCUGCACCACCUUAGAAUCUGACUGUGCCUUUGCAAUGCUACCUUCAUCACCCUGAUUUUCUUCCUCCACCUCUUCUUUAGUAGAUAAGUCAUCUUCCUCCAUUGCAUCUGGUAUUCCCCCUUCUUCAGAAUCCUGCUCUAUCUGAUCACUCCACAAUUGCCCUCCACUUAGUUGUAGUUUCUCCUUUUCUAUAGGUGCUUCAAUUGACUUUGCUGUAGAAAUAGUUUGUGUAGGAAUUUCCUGACAAGAUAGAUUAUAAUUAUCUAAGUUGCCACCUCAAAAAGUCCUGUUUACCCAUUGAGAAGUCGACUCCUUUUGCAGCAGAGAAACACUCCCAAUCCCUUUGUCAUUAGGAUUAAAAACAUGAGUCUUAGGAAUUAAUUUUUAGCUGAUUUUGGAGUACCAUUCCUAGUGACACUAGGAGAUACAUUAGGACUGCGAUCAACAUUACUGUCUUCUACCAAGACCAGCUGAUUGUUAUUUUCCUUCUCACCUUCUUCAACCUCAAGAACAGCAAAUUUAUUGGUUACAUGGACCUGCUGGUUUCCCACAGCUUCCUUCUCAACUGGCACUAUUUCCUUCCCAGUUUUAGCUUUAAUUUCCUCUUGCUGGACAGUUUUCUUCACACAAUUAUCUCGCGCUUCUUUCCAUUGUUCUCCAAUAUUACCUACAACCUUUCCACUAGUAUGAAUCAUUAAAGGACCUUUUUAUUUAUUAUUGUCUGCCACAUUAACAUUGGUAUCCUGUUUUUCAUUGUCUUUGUGCUCUAUUAAUUCUGGAUGUAGCCUCCAAUAUUUGAUCAUAUCAUGGCCUUGCAACUUACACUCUUUGCAAUAUUUGGGCAUGAAAUCAUAUUGAAUUUUAACCCAUUCAGUUCUUACCUCUCCUGUAGCUUCAUUCUCUAUAUCCAUUCGAACCUUCUUCGGCAAAUCUGCUAAUAGAUCAACAUGAAUCUUAACUCGAGCACAACUAGGCCUUGUUUUAUUUAUAGUUUCCAUGUCGAGAUGCGGUGGCUUUCCAACAGCUGAAGCUAAAGAAAAUAAGCACUCCUUAACAAAAUACGUAGGCAACAAGUUUGGGAAUAAAAUCCAAGCCAUAGCCAUUGGCGUUUCUUCUCCGGCCUUGAACUUUGCAUCAUAAAUAAGCUGCCUCAUCUAAUAUUCAUACCCAUCCUUCGCUUUAACAUAAUAGGUACUUUUGGACAUAAUCUUAAUGUAAUCUACCCAUAAUGUCAAACGAAUCAACAUAUGCUUAUCUCUUAAGAAACCAAUAUUACAAUCUCCUUUGAUACCACAUUGGAUUGGAAUAAUUCAACGUAAUUCUUGGACUUCUGGCCAUCCAUAAGAGAACUUAGCUACAACUGCAUAUUGCAAGCCUUCUAUUACAUUCAUGUGAUCCACUUCUGACUCUGUGAACUUCACAAAUGGUUGUCCAUGUAAGAAUGUAGCACGUUUGAAUGGGAUUGGUUCGACAGAACUCGCCUUCACGUGCACGGAGUUAUUAAUAGUGGCUGGUUUCAGAACUUUGCUAUAAUUUAAAGGCUGGGAACAGUUAUUUGUGAUAGUAGGUGAUAGGGAGAGGGUGGGAGGAGGCUGACCAGCCGAAAAACAUGGCUGGCCGCCGGCCAGAAUGGCCAUAGACGAGCUCGCGAGGCAGAAGCCGAUGUCUUCUCCUUUUCGCCUGUCGUAGGGUUACUGUUGUGGCACUCGAAGGGAUUAUUCCUGAGCAUAUAUAAUUUAUCACUUCAAAUUUCCGUUUAACCUUUAUUUCUUUGAAUAAUAUUUCAUGUUCAAAUAAAAAAUAUUAAUGAUGAAUAACAACACAAUUUAGUAGCCUGAUUUAGCCCAAAGAUACUUGUGUUGUUCUUCGCAAUUUAAUACGUGAAACGACUCCAAUCUAACUCAUAAACAAAAGAAUUAAAAAUGUUUAUAAGAAAAAGGAUUCAAAGAUUUAAAGAAUUACUUGUAAAAUCUCAUAUCCACUAAUCACUAUUGCUCAAGUGACAUACCUUUGUUAUGACAUUUUAUCGAACACCAAAUACGAUUCUUAAAUUUUUCCCCCAAGAGCAUACACUGCAAGUAAAAUUAGUGUAAGCAAACGACUCACAAACUUAAAUAAUUACAAAAUGAUACAAAGUAAUCACCAAACAAAAAAUUCAACAUAUAUAAAGAAUGAGCAUAAUUUAAUUAAGGGACGACGAUUUUAUAUACAGAUGUAUGCAAGUCGAAGGGGUUGAGGAAAUUAGAUACACAUUCAUUUGCAAAAUGAAAUUAAAAGAAUGUAAAAAAGAGACAUACUUUGAUCUUUGUACAAAAAAAAUCUUCUCCUAAAUUAACAUUCAGUCAGCCAGUUACGACCUUCAAACUAGAGUUUAUUCAAAUACCUCUAUCUUCAAAUUCAUGGAAUAUUGAAAGAUUAAUCCUUGGUAUCUUUGAAUUGACGAGAUUGUCUCUUUCGAAUGGAUAGAUCAAGCGAGAAAACUAUUAGAAAAUUGAUUACUCCUAGUAUGUAAAGAUAGAAGCCCUAGGCGGGAUGAGUUAGAGAAAGAGAGAGGGAAAUGAAAUUAUAGAAUUUUCUUUUGGAGGGAGGAUAAAAGUAAAAGUUUGGUUCUUUUGCUGGCCAUUUUAUCUAUAUUGCCCCAAAAAACUAUUUUUUACUGGC